UGCAAGUCGAGCGGUAACACAGAGGAGCUUGCUCCUUGGGUGACGAGCGGCGGACGGGUGAGUAAAGUCUGGGGAUCUGCCUGAUGGAGGGGGAUAACUACUGGAAACGGUAGCUAAUACCGCAUGACGUCUUCGGACCAAAGUGGGGGACCUUCGGGCCUCACGCCAUGAGAUGAACCCAGAUGGGAUUAGCUGGUAGGUGAGGUAACGGCUCACCUAGGCGACGAUCCCUAGCUGGUCUGAGAGGAUGACCAGCCACACUGGAACUGAGACACGGUCCAGACUCCUACGGGAGGCAGCAGUGGGGAAUAUUGCACAAUGGGGGAAACCCUGAUGCAGCCAUGCCGCGUGUGUGAAGAAGGCCUUCGGGUUGUAAAGCACUUUCAGCGGGGAGGAAGGCAAUAAACUUAAUAAGUUUGUUGAUUGACGUUACCCGCAGAAGAAGCACCGGCUAACUCCGUGCCAGCAGCCGCGGUAAUACGGAGGGUGCAAGCGUUAAUCGGAAUGACUGGGCGUAAAGCGCACGCAGGCGGUCUGUUAAGUUGGAUGUGAAAUCCCCGGGCUCAACCCGGGAACAGCAUUCAAAACUGACAGGCUAGAGUCUCGUAGAGGGGGGUAGAAUUCCAGGUGUAGCGGUGAAAUGCGUAGAGAUCUGGAGGAAUACCGGUGGCGAAGGCGGCCCCCUGGACGAAGACUGACGCUCAGGUGCGAAAGCGUGGGGAGCAAACAGGAUUAGAUACCCUGGUAGUCCACGCCGUAAACGAUGUCGACUUGGAGGCUGUGGUCUUGAACCGUGGCUUCCGGAGCUAACGCGUUAAGUCGACCGCCUGGGGAGUACGGCCGCAAGGUUAAAACUCAAAUGAAUUGACGGGGGCCCGCACAAGCGGUGGAGCAUGUGGUUUAAUUCGAUGCAACGCGAAGAACCUUACCUACUCUUGACAUCCAGAGAAGACUGUAGAGAUACGGUUGUGCCUUCGGGAGCUCUGAGACAGGUGCUGCAUGGCUGUCGUCAGCUCGUGUUGUGAAAUGUUGGGUUAAGUCCCGCAACGAGCGCAACCCUUAUCCUUUGUUGCCAGCGAUACGGUCGGGAACUCAAAGGAGACUGCCGGUGAUAAACCGGAGGAAGGUGGGGAUGACGUCAAGUCAUCAUGGCCCUUACGAGUAGGGCUACACACGUGCUACAAUGGCGCAUACAAAGAGAAGCGAGCCUGCGAGGGUGAGCGGACCUCAUAAAGUGCGUCGUAGUCCGGAUUGGAGUCUGCAACUCGACUCCAUGAAGUCGGAAUCGCUAGUAAUCGUAGAUCAGAAUGCUACGGUGAAUACGUUCCCGGGCCUUGUACACACCGCCCGUCACACCAUGGGAGUGGGUUGCAAAAGAAGUAGGUAGC
rnacentral:rRNA from 1 species